rnacentral:tRNA from 1 species
AAGGCUUUAGCUUAAUUAAAGUCCUUGAUUUGCAUUCAAGAGAUGUGGGAUAGUGUCCCGCAAGCCUUA